CAGAGAAGAUCUUCAUACAACCUAAAUUUUCUGAGUGACCAAAAUAAGAAUAUCAAUAGCGUGGGUAGAAAACCAGAAGAUGAAAGCACAAACAAAAAUAUCUGUGGUCAUGUGUACCUGUCUGAAAUAUGCAUUUGAAGAGGAGAGCAAUCCAUGUGCUGAACAGUCACAAAGAUAUCAGUCCUCUUGGGUUAAGGAAUAAGUUCAGCUAGAAAACAGGUUAGCUUCAGUGCAACAUGCAAACUGAAAAUGUUCUAUGCUUAUUAUAAAGCCAAAUUUGAGUAUGCAUUCACGUGGAGGCCAGAGAACAUCCCUUUAUCCAGGCACCCCUCCCCUCCCAACACCUGCAUCCGAAGCAGAGGGAACCUCGAGCUUCUCAGAGACAAGGGUGCCACAGUCACAUUUUUUCUCUAUCACACCCUGUCAAGAACAAUUUCUAGAUGUGUUUUAUAGUGCUUUGUAAAUAUUUGACAUUUUUUUUCCUAUGCUUGCUUACUUUUCUUUAAACUCAUAGGUCAUAUGCAUAAGCAUAUAUGACCAUAAGUAUUGGCACAGCUGUGGUUGUGUAGUGAGAAUGAGUAUGACCACUGCCGGUGGGUGGGACCUACUCAUCACUUCAAGUUAGGUACAUGUUUAAGAGAUUUGUUUGAUAUGGACACCACAUCAAAGCUCCACAGACACCAUAUCAAAGCUCCACAAAGCUCCACAGAGCUCCACAGUAAGUGCUGUGUUGAGCCAGGGCCUAAAUGUAGUUUGCCAUGUGGGGCCUUCUUGGCUUCGCUGAUUACCUACCUGGCAGCCUCGCUCUCUUAGAUGAGAACUCCUUCACUUCAGAACCUGUGUUCAGCAACUUAAAGCCUACUUUCUCAUAGUAAGAAAACAGUGAUUAUACUCUCAUGGUAAAACGUUGAAUUAAUACUCUCUUGAGCCGAGAUUACAAGAUUAGGAGAUCAUCAUAAAAAUCUGAAAACACUGCAUAUUAGGAGUUAUAACACUCAUAUUAGGAGUUACACAAACUACAAAUAAAAAUGUUGUCUGCUGCCUUUUGUAAAAUUCUGCUUACAUUUUCUUUCUUUCCUUUUAAAAUACCGUGUAACUAGAGUUUUAUGUCUUGCCAAGUUUAGCCAGGUGAGAAAACAUGAACCUCUUUUUCUUAACUAAAGGGGAAAUAUGAAACAGUUAUAGUAGCAAAGCAAACUUAUUAGCAUACUUUUUCUGCUUUUUUUCCUUCCAAAAUCUUCUGUGAAUCCAAUUUUUCCAUAAAAUACGGUUGUUCAAAUAAACCGUGGGCUGUGCAGGAGCC
ensembl:lncRNA